CUAUAUUAGGAAAUGUGUUCUUCCUUUCUUCAGUAAGCUGCAUUUUCAUUUUUGGCAUCCAUAUUUAAAUCCUGAUGUACAUACACAUAUGAACAAUUUGAGUUUUACUGCUGACAGUUUUAAAUCCUACCCUGUAUCAGCUGCGUAGACAAUUUAACCCCUUCUGGGCUUCACCAGAAGACAAUACAUUUUUUUUUUUGCAGAAGAAGAGAAAGGAAUGCAGUUUGUCUCCAUCAGGAAAUAAUCUUUAUCUUCAAGUCCUACCAUCCAAAAUCAGUUAACACUGAUAGUUCACUGAUCAGUUCACUGAUAGUGAAAGACGCACUUAGCCUGGAUGCUAGAGCACUAGGAAAAUAUUUUUCAAGUGGCUAACUUGAGUUUGACCUCCAACACCUCUUUAUUUGGGAAGAAAUGAAUUCAACGCUGUAUGGCUCAGGCUUGCCGUGAAAUUCUGCAUGGCUUUGCUUCAAACCCCUCCCAAGAGAAAAGAUUUGCUCUUGCUGAGCUGUAUCCAAGUAGAGGGUGCUUUUGUUGUUGUCCUAUGUUACAGAGAGGAAAAUUUGCCAUUGAUGGAGCCACAAACAGAAGGAGAAAAGUUGCUCUAUUUGAUUCAGUAUUUUUUUGAGGGAGACUUGCCAAAUUCAUCAGUGCUGAUCUGGAAGCCAAAAUAGAUAUCCAUGUGUUUUGAAGAGCAGAAAUGCUGGAAUGCAGCUGGAAAGCAGCUCAGGGCUGCCAGUCAUACUGGCUCACCACUAAGAGGUGAGUGAUGCUACAGCAAGCGUGCAGCCCAGCAAGGUUGUGUGAUGGUGGCAUUUGGGCUGACCUGAUCUGUUGGAGUUGAAUUCUAGCCUCAGAACUGUGUACAGAAUAAAAUGCAAUUUAGAGGGCAGCAGGGCUGCUUUUCCUGAAUGUUC